GCCUGAAGGCGCCCGAUCUCGUCUGAUCUCGGAAGUCUAAGCAGGGUCGGGCCUGGUUAGUAUCUUGGAUGGGAGACCACCUGGGAAUCCCGGGU
rnacentral:rRNA from 1 species